rnacentral:rRNA from 1 species
GUAGGUGGCAAGCGUUGUCCGGAAUUAUUGGGCGUAAAGCGCGCGCAGGCGGUUCUUUAAGUCUGAUGUGAAAGCCCACGGCUCAACCGUGGAGGGUCAUUGGAAACUGGAGAACUUGAGUACAGAAGAGGAAAGCGGAAUUCCACGUGUAGCGGUGAAAUGCGUAGAGAUGUGGAGGAACACCAGUGGCGAAGGCGGCUUUCUGGUCUGUAACUGACGCUGAGGCGCGAAAGCGUGGGGGAGCAAACAGGAUUAGAUACCCUGGCAGUCCACGCCGUAAACGAUGAGUGCUAAGUGUUAGGGGGUUUCCGCCCCCCCCUUAGUGCUGCAGCUAACGCAUUAAGCACUCCGCCUGGGGAUACGGCCGCAAGGCUG